rnacentral:rRNA from 1 species
GUCCACGCCGUAACGGUGGAUGCUGGAUGUGGGACCAUUCCACGGUCUCCGUGUCGGAGCCAACGCGUUAAGCAUCCCGCCUGGGAGUACGGCCGCAAGGCUAAACUCAAGAAUUGACGGGGCCCGCACAAGCGGCGGAGCAUGCGGAUUAAUUCGAUGCAACGCGAAGAACCUUACCUGGGCUUGACAUGUUCCCGACAGCCGUAGAGAUACGGUCUCCCUUCGGGCGGGUUCACAGGUGGUGCAUGGUCGUCGU